UUUCGGAGUUCAAGCUCACAUUGUAGCACACAAGUCAUACUUGUAAAACUCUUUGUUUCAACUUGUGAACAUAAAAAACUUAGCUAAUUUAUCUAUAUCUAUCUAUAACCUAUAUAAAAGUCCCAAGCACCAAGACGGUAGCAAAUUUACUGUUCCUUAUAAACAGCGAAAUACCACAUUUGCCCUCUGCUUCCUUGGCUGAAUUUCCAAUAUCACCUGGGUUAGUUUUGUCUUUUUGGUUUUUAAUGGCCUACCUCUUGCUUUGCAGCCCAGUUGCCCCUUGCCCCCAUUUCUCUCUCUUUCCUGCUUUUGCUCCUCCUCAUCCUCACAUCUCCUGAUUUUGCUUUAUUUCAUCUACAUCCGCCAUUGUUGAACAAGCUUCCAGAAAUGAGUCUGCUUCUCCCUCCUCUUGGAUUUUGUGCAAUUUUAACAAAAAAUUUCGGUUUCGAUCUUGUUUUUGGGUAAUUUAUGAGAAUUAGGGCUUUUUUAUUUCGUUUUUGAUCAUUAGCGCAUAAUUAGGGUUUUUCAAUUCUGUUUGCUCGAAAUUGUCAACAUUUUGAAUAGAGAGAGAAGUUGGAUGUUUUAAUUCAAAGUAGCAGUUGAUUCACAACAUCACAAGGAAUCGAACAGUCGAACUUCUUCUCUAAUUGAUUUUCGAUCAAAUUUUCCUUUUGUUAAGAUGAAUUUUCAAGUCGUGUUGGGUUUCUUGGUCUGGGAAUCAUGGGUUCUCCAAUGGCCCAAAAUCUCAUUAAGGCCGGAUCAUUCCAAAAAAACACGUUGGCCACCACUUCGAAGAACACUGAUCCGCUUUUUGUCAAGGUUAGCAUGGAUGGUGCUCCCUAAUUAAGGAAGGUUGAUCUCAGAACUUAUACCACUUAUCAAGAACUUUUCUCUGGCCUUGAGAAGAUGUUUAGUUGCUUCACACUAGGUCAAUGUGGAUCAAACAUGACAGAAACGAAAUUGAGGGAUCUCCUGCAUGGAUCAGAAUAUGUUCUCACCUACGAGGACAAGGAUGGUGACUGGAUGCUUGUUGGAGACGUCCCAUGUGAGAGAAUACUAAGACGAAGCAUCUACAAUUACAGUAUAAGGCGAAGGUAUACGACAUUCUUCAAGGAGGAAGUACGUCACGAUUUAUAAUCAUCAAGUAGAACAUAGUAAUGUUAGCAAAAUGGGGAAGAAAGGAAGCUGGUUUUCAGCAAGUAAGAGGGUCUUUGCUCAUAGCUCUAAGGAGAAUGUAGCUAAUGGAAUAGAGAAGAAAAAUAAAGAAAGGGCUCGGGAAUCUAAAAUUCGAGAUGGCCAUUCGUUCUUGCCUUUUGUCAGAGACCCAGUAGCAUUGAGAAUACUUAGGUGGUUGAAAGGGGGCACCAAGUUACAAAACCUGAGCAACCAAAGGCAGAACUUCCGACUCCACCUGAGCAAAAGGCAGAACCUCCGGCUCCACCUCAGCAACCAAAGACAGAACCUCCUCAUGUAACUCCAAUUCGAUAUAUUUAUAGCUUCUCUGAGUUAUAGAAAUCCCUUCCUUUCAAAUGCCAAAUGACACUGAUGUCUUUAUAAUUUUGUAUUCUAAUACUGUAGCUACAAUCUUUUGUGGCUGAAACUAUCUUGUCUAAUAAACUUUUUUCACUUUGGAUGAUUUGCA